rnacentral:lncRNA from 1 species
AAUGUUAUUUGAGCAUUAGCUCAAACAAAAACAUUAACCCUACAAAACAACCAACAAAACCCAUUUCACUUCUUCCUAUCCAAGACCUACCCAAAGGUCUAACCAUGUCAAAACCAGUUCUUGCAAGUUCUGCCAUAGCUGGAGCUUUCUUUUCAAGCUUGAGUUUAUCUGAUCCAGCUAUGGCUGCUCAACAAAUUGCAGAAAUAGCAGAAGGUGAUAAUCGUGGACUAGCUCUUUUACUUCCAAUAAUACCAGCCAUAGCUUGGGUUUUAUUCAACAUUCUGCAACCAGCACUUAAUCAACUAAACAGGAUGAAAGAGACGAAGGGAGUUAUUAUAGGGCUUGG